UUAAAUGUAUAGCAUACAUGUACUAUAGCGUAAUAUAGUUUACAGUGUUGUACUGUGUAGUGUUUUAUGAUACAGUAUAAUGUAGAAUGUACCAUAAUGUUGUGUAAUAUAAUGUAAAGUAUAGUGUGGCGAAGGAGCAAUAUAUUUUUAAAAAAUACUAUUAUUAAAAACCUCCACCGGAGGGCGUGGUCAAACUGACGCGCGGUCACGUCUUCCCUGACAGACAGGCGCGUUCCCGACGCGUGUGGAAAAAGAAGCGCAAAAUGACGACGUUGAUGGCGGCGGUCGUCCCCGGUCGCUCCCCCGGGGCUCGCCUCCUCCUCCCCGCGGGGACAGCGCCUCCAUCCCCGCUGCGGGUCCACUAGACGCCGCCUUCGGAGCUCCGUCAGCCGGGGAGAGAACGCCAGUGGAGCCGCCCACCCCGCAGCCGGUGCACGCACGGCCCCGCUCGGCCUCGCCGCUCGCUUUGGUUCAUUAUUAUUCAUUUAUACAUCUAUAAUUUUCAAAAAAUGACUUAUUGAUGGAUAACGCGCGCGCCCAGUGAGCCGAGAUGGAGACCAUGGAGAGGGAGUGCAGCGCGCUGGGGGGACUCUUCCAGAACGUCAUCGCGGACAUGAAGGACGACGGUGGCGGCGGCGGCGGCCUUCCUGGACGCCUUCCAGAAGCUGGCGGACAUGGCGACCGGCAGCCGAGGUAGGAGGCGGGCCUCGGCGACAGCUCGGUGGAACUAAACAGCGUCGGAAGCACUGACCGACAUUCAUAACCUUUGUAUUAAUUAAUCCCUAAACUUUUAUUUUCAUGACCUCCCAUUUUUUUUGGAGGGGUGGGGAGGGGUUGGACUUAUGGUACAUUAUUCGCAGGCUAAAGUACUGCAUGUGUUAAUUUGGUGCCAUUGUUUUGGUCAAGGAACUCUUUUGAAGUGAGUUGCGAUACUUCAUUAACACAAAAGUAGUGCUUUGUUACCAUAGAGUGGCAUCUUGGUGCCAAGGAACUAUGCUGAAACGAGUUGAGGGGUUUCCUAUCGACAAAAGUAGCACAUUGAGGCUAUGUAGUGUGCCAUCUUGGUGCUGAGGAACUAUGUUGAACUCAGUUGAGGAGUUUCCUUUGGACAAAAGUAGCACAUUGAGGGUAUACUGUGGCCUCUUGGCGCCGAUAAAUGAUGUUGAAGUGAGUUUAGGAGUUUCAUUUUGAGUUUUUUAAAAGUAGAGCUUUGGCACCAUCCAUCUUGGUGCUCAGGGCCUAUGUUGAAAUCAACUGAGGAGUUUCAUUUGGCCUCUUCAAAACAUUGAUUUUGUUGUCCUGAAGCCACUUCGUAAACCAGUUUGGCAGUAUGCUUGCGGUCAACGUUCAUUGGGACGACCCAAUUUCAUUUCAGCCAAGCGUUAACUUCCUGGCUGAUGUCAAGGCGUUGCUGCGUCAGUAUUUCCACAUGAUGAUCUUUCUGGAGCAAAGCAAGCCCACAACAUGAUGCUGCCACCCCUGUGUUGCACAGUUGGGAUGGUGUUCUCAGGCUUGCACCUUUCCCACUUUAUCCUCCAACUCUAACCAUUCUCAUUACGGCCAAGCAGUUCAAUUUUAGCUUUUUCACACCACAGGACCUGUCUCAAAAAAUGAGGGACUUUGUGCCUCACCUGGGAACUCAGUGAGUUGCUCCAGCUGCUCUCCUACUUUCUCCUCUUCUUUAAUGUAGGAGGGAACUGAUUCAUGCUGCUGCUGCUGCUCAGGAGGUACAUGUUGAAAAACACAAGAACGCGUGCCUUUAUUAUUUCAUAUUUGCAGCUCGUAUCACACCCUUAACAAUGGUGGUAUGGUGCCAAUACUGUACAUUGCUACUCGUACUCAAACCUGGACUAAAAAGCUGCAAUACGACAACAGACGACGUACUGUACUAUUCUGUCCUCUCUGAAUGUGCAGUGAGCAGUUUGGCAGAGAACAAACGGUUCUUCAAAAAAGAGUCCACGUGGUUUUGGACGCACCAGUUGAAGUUGACAGUCAAACGAAGCGCCUCACCUGAGAACUCGGUGAGCCGCUCCAGCUCUUUUCCUGCAUGCUCCUCGCCCUCCUCCUCCUCUUCUUCUUUAACACGGAGGGGCUCCGGUUCAUGCUGCUGCUGCUCGGGG